rnacentral:lncRNA from 1 species
UGAAAACCUGGGAAAUAGAGAUGGAGGCAACAAGAAGUCAUAACUGUCCAUCCAGAGCACGGCUCAAUGCGAGCAGAUACACUGCUGCUAAAUGUCCUGCAGGCUCACACAGCUGGAAUGGGCCUCCGGUGCUGAUUUUCUGUGCUGGCAAACUAUGUUUUGCAGAGAAAGUAAGUCAGGUUCACAACACUUCUGUGUUUUUUUGUCGUAACGAGCGAGCUAUAACGCUAAAUUAAAGCCGAGUGCCAUAAAACGGAGACAGACACAUUUUCACCUUUGAAAGCUGUCAGUGCAGGCCAAAGAGCAGCGUAAUGAUACAGACAAUACAAACCACAGGGAGCUGCAGACCUACAGCAGCACCAGCCAGCACAGCCCUGCUCUGAAACGUGGGCUUACUUGAGUAUUCGUCGUCAGGCUGUGACUAAUCAGAAAAUCCACCACCAAACCGCAUUACAAAACACCAACCCAAACCAAAACCAACCAAACGCUAAUAAAUAAUGGUUAUCAGAUGGUCGCUAAUGAAGGUGAAUGACUUCAAACUCUCCCGGGGACACCUUCAGAAGCCAUCCUACCUGGAGGAAGAGAACCUGGGAGAAUGACAGACUUCAUCAAAACCUGAGAGUGGAAGCUGAAGUGGAACUUUAAGGUCUACGCUGCUCCCUGUGAAAGCCAAACACAGUGCUUCAGGAAGAUGGAACUUACCUGCUCUCAUUGUGCUUUUGAUUACUACUGUAAUCCUAUUUAACUGCUGUUGAAAUAAUGCCUUAUUAUCGUUCCGACACCUUUGAAAGACAGAAGCACUCAUUAAGAGGUUUCUCAGAUGCGAGGAGGAAGCAGAAGCGAGCAGAUUGAACCACGUGUUGCUGAAUUUACACCUUAGAGGAAAUAAAGUCAUCAGUACACACACAGCUGAUACAUACACGUUCAUGAAAAGCAACUACACGUUAAAACAAGGAAGGAUGCAAAUAUUUUCUUAUGUCCUUGCACACGAAUUUUAUGUUGCUUUCUAGUUUUCAGAUCACCUGCUAAUACACAACCUGAAGUAAUACAUCUGCCAGCUCUUCCUAUCAACUGUAGGUGGCAGGGGAGGGUCUGCAUGUUCCUAGAGCCCAGUUCUUCCUAACAGCUCUAAGUGUUUGACCCCACCAUCCUCUGCAAUGUAUUUUACCUGCCAACUAAGCUGGAAAUCGUGCUUCUCGUCUUGACACAACCUGGAGGAGAUCAGGAGGCAGAACAGUGAGCUCUGCCAAGAGGGUGCUUUGGUUUUCAUUGCUCCUGCAAACAUCUCUUAAAAAAAAAAAAAACAAUCCCCAAUUCGAUACAUUCAUAAUUGAAGGCACUGAAAAGGCA